AUUGAACGCUGGCGGCAUGCCUUACACAUGCAAGUCGAACGGCAGCACGGGAGCAAUCCUGGUGGCGAGUGGCGAACGGGUGAGUAAUAUAUCGGAACGUGCCCAGUCGUGGGGAUAACGUAGCGAAAGUUACGCUAAUACCGCAUACGAUCUAAGGAUGAAAGCGGGGGGAUCGCAAGACCUCGCGCGAUUGGAGCGGCCGAUAUCAGAUUAGGUAGUUGGUGAGGUAAAGGCUCACCAAGCCGACGAUCUGUAGCUGGUCUGAGAGGACGACCAGCCACACUGGGACUGAGACACGGCCCAGACUCCUACGGGAGGCAGCAGUGGGGAAUUUUGGACAAUGGACGCAAGUCUGAUCCAGCCAUUCCGCGUGCAGGAUGAAGGCCCUCGGGUUGUAAACUGCUUUGUACGGAACGAAAGGUUUGUCUUAAUACGAUGAGCUCAUGACGGUACCGUAAGAAUAAGC
rnacentral:rRNA from 1 species